ACCCAGACUCCUACGGGAGGCAGCAGUGGGGGAUAUUGCACAAUGGGGGGAACCCUGAUGCAGCGACGCCGCGUGGGUGAAGAAGUAUUUCGGUAUGUAAAGCCCUAUCGGCAGGGAAGAAAUUGGACGGUACCUGACUAAGAAGCCACGGCUAACUACGUGCCAGCAGCCGCGGUAAUACGUAGGUGGCAAACGUUGUCCGGAAUUACUGGGUGUAAAGGGAGCGUAGGCGGGAAAGCAAGUUGAAUGUUUAAGGUACGGGCUCAACCUGUACAAGCGUUCAAAACUGUUUUUCUUGAGUGGAGUAGAGGUAAGCGGAAUUCCUAGUGUAGCGGUGAAAUGCGUAAAUAUUAGGAGGAACACCAGUGGCGAAGGCGGCUUACUGGGCUUUAACUGACGCUGAGGCUCGAAAGCGUGGGUAGCAAACAGGAUUAGAUACCCCAGUAA
rnacentral:rRNA from 1 species